UACGUAGGGGGCUAGCGUUGUCCGGAAUCAUUGGACGUAAAGAGCGUGUAGGCGGCCCGGUAAGUCCGCUGUAAAAGUCAAAGGCUCAACCUUUGAAUGUCAGUGGAUACUGCCGGGCUAGAGUCCGGAAGAGGCGAGUGGAACUCCUGGUGUAGCGGUGGAAUGCGCAGAUAUCAGGAAGAACACCAACGGCGAAGGCAGCUCGCUGGGACGGUACUGACGCUGAGACGCGAAAGCGUGGGGAGCGAACAGG
rnacentral:rRNA from 1 species